AGCAGUAGCCGCGGGAAUACAGAGGGUGCGAGCGUUAAUCGGAUUUAUUGGGCGUAAAGCGUGCGUAGGCGGCUUUUUAAGUCGGAUGUGAAAUCCCUGAGCUUAACUUAGGAAUUGCAUUCGAUACUGGGAAGCUAGAGUAUGGGAGAGGAUGGUAGAAUUCCAGGUGUAGCGGUGAAAUGCGUAGAGAUCUGGAGGAAUACCGAUGGCGAAGGCAGCCAUCUGGCCUAAUACUGACGCUGAGGUACGAAAGCAUGGGGAGCAAACAGGAUUAGAGACCCCCGUAGUCCCUGUCUCUUAUAC
rnacentral:rRNA from 1 species